GACGAACGCUGGCGGCGUGCUUAACACAUGCAAGUCGAACGAAGAGCGAUGGAAGCUUGCUUCUAUCAAUCUUAGUGGCGAACGGGUGAGUAACGCGUAAUCAACCUGCCCUUCAGAGGGGGACAACAGUUGGAAACGACUGCUAAUACCGCAUACGAUCUAACCUCGGCAUCGAGGAUAGAUGAAAGGUGGCCUCUACAUGUAAGCUAUCACGGAAGGAGGGGAUUGCGUCUGAUUAGCUAGUUGGAGGGGUAACGGCCCACCAAGGCGAUGAUCAGUAGCCGGUCUGAGAGGAUGAACGGCCACAUUGGGACUGAGACACGGCCCAGACUCCUACGGGAGGCAGCAGUGGGGAAUCUUCCGCAAUGGACGAAAGUCUGACGGAGCAACGCCGCGUGAGUGAUGACGGCCUUCGGGUUGUAAAGCUCUGUUAAUCGGGACGAAAGGCCUUCUUGCGAAUAGUGAGAAGGAUUGACGGUACCGGAAUAGAAAGCCACGGCUAACUACGUG
rnacentral:rRNA from 1 species